UACGUAGGUGGCAAGCGUUGUCCGGAUUUACUGGGCGUAAAGAGCGCGCAGGCGGUCGUUCAAGUCGAGUGUGAAAGCCCCCGGCUCAACUGGGGAGGGUCACUCGAUACUGAUCGACUCGAAGGCAGAAGAGGGAAGCGGAAUUCCCGGUGUAGUGGUGAAAUGCGUAGAUAUCGGGAGGAAUACCAGUGGCGAAGGCGGCCUUCUGGACUGACACUGACGCUGAGGCGCGAAAGCCAGGGGAGCAAACGGG
rnacentral:rRNA from 1 species